rnacentral:rRNA from 1 species
AUUGAACGCUGGCGGCGUGCUUUACACAUGCAAGUCGAACGGUAACAGGGUGCUUGCACCGCGGACGAGUGGCGAACGGGUGAGUAAUGCGUCGGAACGUGUCGAGUAGUGGGGGAUAACGCAGCGAAAGUUGUGCUAAUACCGCAUACGUACUGAGGUAGAAAGUGGGGGACCUUCGGGCCUCACGCUAUUCGAGCGGCCGACGUCUGAUUAGCUAGUAGGUGAGGUAAAGGCUCACCCAGGCGACGAUCAGUAGCGGGUCUGAGAGGAUGAUCCGCCAAACUGGGACUGAGACACGGCCCAGACUCCUACGGGAGGCAGCAGUGGGGAAUUUUGGACAAUGGGCGAAAGCCUGAUCCAGCCAUGCCGCGUGUCUGAAGAAGGCCUUCGGGUUGUAAAGGACUUUUGUCAGGGAGGAAAUCCCUAGUGCUAAUAACACUGGGGGAUGACAGUACCUGAAGAAUAAGCACCGGCUAACUACGUGCCAGCCGCCGCGGUAA